rnacentral:rRNA from 1 species
UGGAGCAUGUGGCUUAAUUUGACUCAACGCGGGAAAUCUUACCAGGUCCAGACAUAUUGAGGAUUGACAGGUGAUCACUAAUAUAUUUUAUAUAUUAGUACAAAUAUGAUAGUCCUUUCAUGAUUAUAUGAUAGGUGGUGCAUGGCCGUUCUUAGUUCGUGGAGUGAUCUGUCUGCUUAAUUGCGUUUCAUAUAAUAUUAAAUAAUAUUAUUCAUUAUAUUAUUUUAAGUGUUCUGCCUUUUUAAGGAUUGUGAACCUUUUAUAAUAUAUGAUAAUAUUAUAUUUAAAUGAAUGCAACGAACGUGACUAUAACCUUUUAUUGCAAUAUUUUAUAUAAUAUAUAAUUUUUAUUAUAUGUUAUUAUAUUGCUUAAAAUUAAAGGAACCGCUGUCUAAUAUUUAGUUUUAAAACAGAGGAAGAUUAUGGCAAUAACAGGUCUGUGAUGC